UUUGGGGAGUAAAGAUGUUUGGUCUCAAA
rnacentral:piRNA from 1 species